rnacentral:rRNA from 1 species
GAAGGGAGCUUGCUCCUGGAUUCAGCGGCGGACGGGUGAGUAAUGCCUAGGAAUCUGCCUGGUAGUGGGGGAUAACGUCCGGAAACGGGCGCUAAUACCGCAUACGUCCUGAGGGAGAAAGUGGGGGAUCUUCGGACCUCACGCUAUCAGAUGAGCCUAGGUCGGAUUAGCUAGUUGGUGGGGUAAAGGCCUACCAAGGCGACGAUCCGUAACUGGUCUGAGAGGAUGAUCAGUCACACUGGAACUGAGACACGGUCCAGACUCCUACGGGAGGCAGCAGUGGGGAAUAUUGGACAAUGGGCGAAAGCCUGAUCCAGCCAUGCCGCGUGUGUGAAGAAGGUCUUCGGAUUGUAAAGCACUUUAAGUUGGGAGGAAGGGCAGUAAGUUAAUACCUUGCUGUUUUGACGUUACCAACAGAAUAAGCACCGGCUAACUUCGUG